CCAAAGCAUCCAUGGAUCAGUGUAAAGUUCUUCCACCAGGCGUCAGAUGUGCUACACGCUGUAAUCCCAGCCAUGGAGAGGUGUGGGCAGAUGUGCUGCAGCUGUAAUCCCAGCCGUGGAGAGGUGUGGGCAGAUGUGCUGCAGCUGUAAUCCCAGCCGUGGAGAGGUGUGGGCAGAUGUGCUGCACGCUGUAAUCCCAGCCAUGGAGAGGUGUGGGCAGAUGUGCUGCAGCUGUAAUCCCAGCCAUGGAGAGGUGUGGGCAGAUGUGCUGCAGCUGUAAUCCCAGCCGUGGAGAGGUGUGGGCAGAUGUGCUGCAGCUGUAAUCCCAGCCGUGGAGAGGUGUGGGCAGAUGUGCUGCACGCUGUAAUCCCAGCCAUGGAGAGGUGUGGGCAGAUGUGCUGCAGCUGUAAUCCCAGCCGUGGAGAGGUGUGGGCAGAUGUGCUGCAGCUGUAAUCCCAGCCGUGGAGAGGUGUGGGCAGAUGUGCUGCAGCUGUAAUCCCAGAAAGCACUGGCUUUCUUCUCUGCUGCAUCUCUUCGCUCUCUUGGCUCUCCUGACUCUCUAACAAGUCUUGUAUUGUGACCCACAGCUAUCACCUACCAUGUUUCAGUCGUGAACUGUCCUGUUAGCAAUUUUUUUUUCUAGUUCUCCCUGCCUCAAUGCAACAUUCUGAUGAGUGAAAGAGAUGUGAUAGCACUUUGUAAGCCAGACAACAUGGUAUGGCUUUAAGAUACUUUUAGAACAAGAUAAAACAACCUUGGAGAACCACUGUGCAAAUUCCAAGGAAGAAAAGGGAGCAAGAGGUGGCAGGCUAGCCCACAGGUAACCUGAAUGCAAAGAGCU